rnacentral:tRNA from 1 species
UGGUGAAAUGGUCGAGUUUAGGCAAUGAAUUGUAGCUUCAUCUACAGAAUUUAUUUUCUUUUUACCAG